rnacentral:rRNA from 1 species
CCUACGGGAGGCAGCAGUGGGGGAUAUUGGACAAUGGGGGGAACCCUGAUCCAGCGACGCCGCGUGAGUGAAGAAGGAUCUCGGUAUGUAAAGCUCUAUCAGCAGGGAAGAAGACAGGACGGUACCUGAGUAAGAAGCCACGGCUAACUACGGGCCAGCAGCCGCGGUAAUACGCAGGGGGCAAGCGUUAUACGGAAUUACGGGGGGUAAAGGGAGCGUAGACGGUGAUGUAAGUCUGGAGUGAAAGGCGGGGGCCCAACCCCCGGACUGCUCUGGAAACUCUGUGACUGGAGUGCAGGAGAGGUGAGCGGAAUUCCUCGUGUAGCGGUGAAAUGCGUAGAUAUUUGGAGGAACACCAGUGGCGAAGGCGGCUCACUGGACUGUAACUGACGUUGAGGCUCGAAAGCGUGGGGAGCAAACAGGAUUAGAUACCCUAGUAGUC